rnacentral:rRNA from 1 species
AGGGGGGAACAGACCGCUGGCGGUCAUGCUUACACAUGCAGUCGCACGGGCAGUGCACCCUGUCAGUGGCGGACGGGUGAGUAACGCGAGAUCUAUCCUUGGGUGGGGGACAACCGUGGGAAACUACGUGCUAAUACCGCAUGAUCCCUGAGGGGCAAAGGCGAAAGUCGCCUGAGGAGGAGCCUGCGUCUGAUUAGGUAGUUGGUGGGGUAAAGGCCUACCAAGCCUUCGAUCAGUAGCUGGUCUGAGAGGACUAUCAGCCACACUGGGACUGAGACACGGCCCAGACUCCUACGGGAGGCAGCAGUGGGGAAUAUUGGACAAUGGGCGAAAGCCUGAUCCAGCAAUGCCGCGUGGAUUAAGAAGGUCUUCGGACUUGUAAAGUCCUUAAGGCGGGGACGAUGAUGACGGUACCCCGCAGAAUAAGCUCCGGCUAACUUCGUGCCAGCAGCCGCGGUAAUACGAAGGGGGCUAGCGUAGCUCGGAAUGACUGGACGUAAAAGGGGCGACGUAAGCAGACGGCACAGUCAAGACCGAUGAAAUAACCUGAAGCUCAACCUGGGGGACCUGCGAUCUGGAAGACGGUGAU